GAUGAACGCUGGCGGCGUGCCUAAUACAUGCAAGUCGAGCGAACAGACGAGGAGCUUGCUCCUCUGACGUUAGCGGCGGACGGGUGAGUAACACGUGGAUAACCUACCUAUAAGACUGGGAUAACUUCGGGAAACCGGAGCUAAUACCGGAUAAUAUAUUGAACCGCAUGGUUCAAUAGUGAAAGACGGUUUUGCUGUCACUUAUAGAUGGAUCCGCGCCGCAUUAGCUAGUUGGUAAGGUAACGGCUUACCAAGGCAACGAUGCGUAGCCGACCUGAGAGGGUGAUCGGCCACACUGGAACUUAGACACGGUCCAGACUCCUUCGGGAGGCAGCCGUAGGGAAUCUUCCGCCAUUGGCGAAAGCCUUACGGAGCAACGCCGCGUGAGGUAUUGAGGUCUUCCGAUCGUAAAACUCUGUUAUUAGGGAAGAACAAAUGUGUAAGUAACUUUUCACGUCUUGACGGUACCUAAUCAGAAAGCCACCGCUAACUACCUU
rnacentral:rRNA from 1 species